rnacentral:rRNA from 1 species
GACGAACGCUGGCGGCGUGGAUUAGGCAUGCAAGUCGAACGGUAUCAUCCUUUCGGGGGUGAGAGAGUGGCGAACUGGUGAGUAACACGUAGGUUAUCUACCCUCAAGACGGGGGACAACCCAGGGAAACUUGGGCUAAUACCGGAUGUGAGCAACUUUUAGUUGUUUGAAAGGUGGCGUAAGCUGUCGCUUGGGGAUGAGCCUGCGUCCUAUUAGUUAGUUGGUGAGGUAACGGCUCACCUAGGCAAUGAUAGGUAGGCGGCCUUAACGGGUGGUCGCCCACACUGGGAUUGAGAUACGGCCCAGACUCCUACGGGAGGCAGCAGUCGAGAAUAGUCUACAAUGGUCGGAAGACUGAUAGUGCGACGCCGCGUGAACGAUGGAUCCCUUCGGGGUGUAAAGUUCUUUUAUAUGUGAGCAGUGCUUCUUAUAUUAACAGUAUGGGGAGAGAGAUAUUAGCAUAUGAAUAAGCAACGGCUAACUCCGUGCCAGCAGCCGCGGUAAGA